GGGGGACACCAGUCUGGGUCCAGGUUUGGGGGGGGGGACCAGUCUGGGUCCAGGUUUGUGGGCCGGUCUGGGUCCAGGUUUGUGGGCCGGUCUGGGUCCAGGUUUGUGGGCCGGUCUGGGUCCAGGUUUGUGGGCCGGUCUGGGUCCAGGUUUCUGGGCCGGUCUGGGUCCAGGUUCGUGGGCCGGUCUGGGUCCAGGUUCGUGGGCCGGUCUGGGUCCAGGUUCGUGGGCCGGUCUGGGUCCAGGUUCGUGGGCCAGUCUGGGUCCAGGUUUGUGGGGCUGAGGUUGAGGCAAGGAUAUUGUAGAUAGUUGGUGAGGGCUGGUUGAGGGGUGUUGUAUUCAGUUCAGUAAUAGUCAUCAUGGACAACAAGGGGAGAAGGAAACUCCCUUUACUGGUCUGAUCUGGCCUUCUUUGGACCGGCAGCUUUCCUAAAGGAGAGAAACAACACGAUUCAACAGAUGAACAUAGACAGGGGGCUGGUGAAAGAGUCAGGAGAGAGCGUUAGGAGUGGAGCUGAGAGUCAAGACCAGAAUAAAAGUUGAGAGUUUAAGGUUCACCCGUGUUGAAUGUUCCAAUUUUUUUUUUUUUUUUUUUGUGCAUCUCUGAAGUGAUGUUGUAUCGAGUCAUGGAGAACAGAGAACAUCCCUGGUCAUCCCUACUGCCUCUGAUCUGGAGGACUCACUAAACAGAGAACAUCCUGUCAUGUUUAUCUAAGAUCUUGAUCAGAAACUCUGGCAGAGAUACAGUUGGUAUGAGGCAAAACGCAUUGUACCG
ensembl:lncRNA